CCAUGGCUGGGAAGUUACUGAUGGAUUCACCUCAAUCCCAGUAAAAUCAUCCAGUCUUUCUGAAAACUCCAGGAUGGUUUGGGUUGGAAAACACCAACCCUGGGAAGAUCCUGAAAGUUCCUCGAUUCCAACCAGGCUUGGGCAGUGCCCACCAUGGAUCAAACCAGUCAAAAUCCAUCAGGAUCUUCCCGAAAACCCUGAGGAACAAUGAAAUCCCAGUUCGUUGCUGCAAUGGGCUGUUGGGACAGAGUUCCUGAAGGAAUUGCUUCCCUGGUAUCCCAAAAUAUUAUUUCCAUGUGAUUAAAACUGCUUUAAAAACUUCA